UGGAAGUGAUGAAAUAGAGAUAUAUGGAUGUCUCUUUGAAUGGGGUGUGUGUGUGUGUUAAAUGGAAUUUAAAUCAAGUCAGACUGGGGGUGGGGUGUGUGUGUGGGGGUGUGUGUAGUAAAGGCUUGAAAUGGGGGCACUGAUGAAGCAGUGCUGAUUCCGGAGUGCAUCUGAGGCAUGUUGGUGAAUUCUGGGGUGCCACUUUACAACAUUGCCGAUGAUUAAAGCCCAAAACAAGCCCACCAAGACAAGCCUGGGCAUCCUUGAUCUCUAACAGGGUCAUUAGUGAAAGUGAUCCUGUGAUCUGAUCCAA
rnacentral:snoRNA from 1 species